GAGUUUGAUCCUGGCUCAGGAUGAACGCUGGCGGCGUACCUAACGCAUGCAAGUCGAACGGAGGAAUUGGAGCAAUCUGAUUUCUGAGUGGCAAACGGGUGAGUAACACGUGGGUAACCUACCCUGAAGUGGGGAAUAACGCUCCGAAAGGGGCGCUAAGACCGCAUACGCUCGAGAGAGUAAAGUGGCGUGCAAGCGCCAUGCUUCGGGAGGGGCCUGCGGCCCAUCAGGUAGUUGGGAGGGUAACGGCCUCCCAAGCCAAUGACGGGUAGCUGGUCUGAGAGGACGAUCAGCCACACUGGCACUGCGACACGGGCCAGACUCCUACGGGAGGCAGCAGCGAGGAAUAUUGCGCAAUGGAGGCAACUCUGACGCAGUAACGCCGCGCGGAGGAUGACGGUCUUCGGAUCGUAAACUCCUUUUCCAAAGGACGAGUAUGGACGGUACUUUGGGAAUCAGUCUCGGCUAACUACGUGCCAGCAGCCGCGGUAAAACGUAGGAGGCGAGCGUUAUCCGGAUUCACUGGGCGUAAAGCGCAUGUAGGCGGUUCGUCAAGUCGUCGGUGAAAGCCCCUGGCUCAACUGGGGGAGGUCUGGCGAGACGGGCGGACUGGAGGACCCGAGAGGAAGGUGGAAUUCCCGGUGUAGCGGUGGAAUGCGUAGAGAUCGGGAGGAACACCCGUGGCGAAAGCGGCCUUCUGGCGGGUACCUGACGCUGAGAUGCGAAAGCGUGGGGAGCAAACGGGAUUAGAUACCCCGGUAGUCCACGCCCUAAACGAUGCCGACUAGGUGUGGGAGGGAAACCCCUGCCGUGCCGUAGCUAACGCGUUAAGUCGGCCGCCUGGGGACUACGAGCGCAAGCUUAAAACUCAAAGGAAUUGACGGGGGCCCGCACAAGCAGCGGAGCGUGCGGUUCAAUUCGAUGCAACACGAAGAACCUUACCAGGGUUUGACAUGGCGGUGGUAGGGACGCGAAAGCGGACCGACCCGCAAGGGAGCCGCCACAGGUGAUGCAUGGCUGUCGUCAGCUCGUGCCGUGAGGUGUUGGGUUAAGUCCCGCAACGAGCGCAACCCUUGUCGCUAGUUACAAGUGUCUAGCGAGACUGCCGGAAAUUGUCCGGAGGAAGGUGGGGACGACGUCAAGUCAGCAUGUCCUUUAUAUCCUGGGCGACACGCACGCUACAAUGGGCGUCACAGCGCGAAGCCAAGUCGUGAGAUGGAGCGAAUCGCCAAAAAGCGCCCACAGUGCAGAUUGCAGGCUGCAACCCGCCUGCAUGAAGUCGGAGUUGCUAGUAAACGCGCGUCAGCCAUAGUGCGUUGAAUACGUUCCCGGGCCUUGUACACACCGCCCGUCACGUCAUGGGAGUCGGCAACACCUGAAGUCGGUGAGUGAGCCGCAAGGACACAGCCGCCGAAGGCGGGGCUGGUGACUGGGACGAAGUCGUAACAAGGUAGCCGUA
rnacentral:rRNA from 1 species